UACGUAGGGGGCAAGCGUUGUCCGGAAUCAUUGGGCGUAAAGCGCGUGUAGGCGGCUUGAUAAGUCUGCUCUGAAAGCUCGGGGCUCAACCCUGGGAGGCGGGUGGAUACUGUCGAGCUCGAGUCCGGAAGAGGCGAGUGGAAUUCCUGGUGUAGCGGUGAAAUGCGCAGAUAUCAGGAGGAACACCAAUGGCGAAGGCAGCUCGCUGGGACGGUACUGACGCUGAGACGCGAAAGCAUGGGGAGCGAACAGG
rnacentral:rRNA from 1 species